CUAGCAACCACUUUUAAAGUUGCAUUUGCCCUUAUCUCUCUCUCCCUCUUUACUUUCCCACUCAAGACCUAAAUAUCUUUAAGAAUCAGGUUAUUUAGUCCAGCUCUUUCCCACUGACCAAAUCUUUGAGUGGUAGGUACCUCCACUGUUAACUACAUGAAUCACCCAGUUUUUUGCUUUUUAAAGAAAAAAGGAAGAAAACCACCACACACCGGAAUUUUGCUUUAAAAAAUUUCCAAGAAGGCUAGAAAAGGUAUGUUUGGGACCCAUAGACAAUUUCCUUCCACUAAGAUAAAAAGGUUUAAAAAAAAAAAAAUCGGUCUGAUGUGGCGAGCCACGGGAAACGGACAAACAGGGGAUAGAGAGCAACAGAAAGGAGAAAGCCAUCCCGGAACCGGAGCCCCUGGGAGCGCGCGCUCCUCCUCCCACUCCAGCUCACGGAAACCGGAGAACUUAAACCAGGUGCACACCACUGGGACCAGCACUAAGGACCGUGUGAGGCCGAGUCAUUCAGCUACCCGUGCCACAAAAGUGUAGGGCCAGAGGACAGAAUCCGUGCAGUGUCGGUUCUGACGGCUAAGAAGUUCAAGAUCAAGACACUGGCUGUUUAGAAGGCUGGUUGUUGUGUAAUAGUUUCCUCCAAGAUUAAAACAGUCCAUCCUGCAGGAAGCUCCUUAAGCAGGAAGGUGAACAACUCAGAACAGCUUCCGAAGUCCCGGAAACUGACCAGAUUCACGAGGCCCCUCCCUGCCCGAGUAUACAGUUAAAGCUGAAAUACCCCUCAGAUCUAGAGAGCUGUGCUGUAAAGUGUCAGACAAACCAACCUGCCAAGAAAACCAGCCGUCCUGCCUGGAAGAGGUUUAGACCAACUGAGGCACCUGGAGGGACCCUCUUCCACCUGCUGGGCUGCCCACGGGCUGUGCAGUGUGCUGCAGGAUGCUGUCUUUGUGAGCUGUCACCCGUGCUGGGGUGGGCCUUGGUGAUACAGCUGUCUUUGAGUCGUUUCUGCCCCGUAUUCCUGUAAGUAACUUCAAUAAAACUUACGGUUCACCAA